rnacentral:rRNA from 1 species
UACGGAGGGUGCGAGCGUUGUCCGGAAUCACUGGGCGUAAAGGCGCGUAGGCGGCGCGGGUAGUCAUCGGAUGAAAGUUCAGGGCUCCAACUCCUGGAAUCGGCCGGUGAUACUCCCGUGCUUGAGCACUGUAGAGGCAGGUGGAAUUCCGGGUGUAGCGGCGGAAUGCGUAGAGAUCCGGAAGAACACCGGUGGCGAAGGCGGCCUGCUGGGCUAUUGCUGACACUGAGGCGCGACGAGCGAGGG